rnacentral:rRNA from 1 species
UACGUAGGCAGCGAGCGUUGUUCGGAGUUACUGGGCGUAAAGGGUGUGUAGGCGGUUGUUUAAGUUUGGUGUGAAAUCUCCCGGCUCAACUGGGAGGGUGCGCCGAAUACUGAAUGACUUCGAGUGCGGGAGAGGAGAGUGGAAUUCCUGGUGUAGCGGUGAAAUGCGUAGAUAUCAGGAGGAACACCGGUGGUGAAGACGGCUCUCUGGACCGUAACUGACGCUGAGACACGAAAGCGUGGGUAGCAAACAGG